rnacentral:rRNA from 1 species
GUGUCAGCAGCCGCGGUAAUACGAAGGCAGCAAGCGUUGUUCGGAAUUACUGGGCGUAAAGAGUGUGUAGGCGGUGUUGCAAGUCUGUCGUGAAAUCUCCCGGCUUAACUGGGAGGGUGCGGCGGAUACUGCAAUGCUAGAGGGUGGGAGAGGUAAGCGGAAUUCCUGGUGUAGCGGUGAAAUGCGUAGAUAUCAGGAGGAACACCUGUGGUGUAGACAGCUUACUGGACCACUUCUGACGCUGAGACACGAAAGCGUGGGUAGCAAACAGGAUUAGAUACCCUAGUAGUCC